rnacentral:rRNA from 1 species
GAUGCGUAGCCGACUGAGAGGGUGAUCGGCCACAUUGGGACUGAGACACGGCCCAGACUCCUACGGGAGGCAGCAGUCGGGAAUAUUGCCCAAUGGGGGAAACCUGAAUGCAGAACGCCGCGUGAGUGAAGAGGUCUUCGGAUUGUAAAGCUCUGUCUUUGGGGACGCAUAAUGACGGUACCCAAGGAGGAAGCCACGGCU